UUACUCUAGUGGCGCACGGGUGAGUAACACGUGAGUAACCUGCCCCCGAGAGCGGGAUAGCCCUGGGAAACUGGGAUUAAUACCGCAUAGUAUCGAAAGAUUAAAGCAGCAAUGCGCUUGGGGAUGGGCUCGCGGCCUAUUAGUUAGUUGGUGAGGUAACGGCUCACCAAGGCGAUGACGGGUAGCCGGUCUGAGAGGAUGUCCGGCCACACUGGAACUGAGACACGGUCCAGACACCUACGGAAGGCAGCAG
rnacentral:rRNA from 1 species